UACGUAGGGUGCAAGCGUUGUCCGGAAUUAUUGGGCGUAAAGAGCUCGUAGGCGGUCUGUCGCGUCUGCUGUGAAAACCCGGGGCUCAACCCCGGGCUUGCAGUGGAUACGGGCAGACUAGAGUUCGGUAGGGGAGACUGGAAUUCCUGGUGUAGCGGUGAAAUGCGCAGAUAUCAGGAGGAACACCGGUGGCGAAGGCGGGUCUCUGGGCCGGUACUGACGCUGAGGUGCGAAAGCGUGGGGAGCAAACAGG
rnacentral:rRNA from 1 species